UACGAAGGGUGCAAACGUUGUUCGGAAUUACUGGGCGUAAAGGGCGCGUAGGCGGCUUGGUCAGUCCCGUGUGAAAUCCCCGGGCUCAACCUGGGAACUGCCUUUGUGACUGCAAGGCUUGAGUGCGGCAGAGGGGGAUGGAAUUCCGCGUGUAGCAGUGAAAUGCGUAGAUAUGCGGAGGAACACCGAUGGCGAAGGCAAUCCCCUGGGCCUGCACUGACGCUCAUGCACGAAAGCGUGGGGAGCAAACAGG
rnacentral:rRNA from 1 species